UGAAUACGAGACGCUAAGGCGUCGAAGUAGUGUAUGUCAUACUUCCAAGAAAAGCUUGCACUGUCAUAGAUAAAAAACGCCUGUACCAUAACCGACACAGGUGGGUAGGUAGAGUAUACUAAGGGGCGCGAGAUAACUCUCUCUAAGGAACUCGGCAAAAUAACUCCGUAACUUCGGGAGAAGGAGUGCCUUAUUUAUAAGGCUGCAAUAACAAGAUCCAAGCAACUGUUUAUCAAAAACACAGGUCUCCGCUAAGUCGUAAGACGAUGUAUGGGGGCUGACGCCUGCCCAGUGCCAGAAGGUUAAAGAAGUUGGUUAGCUUUUGCGAAGCUGAUAACUGAAGCCCUGGUGAACGGCGGCCGUAACUAUAACGGUCCUAAGGUAGCGAAAUUCCCUGUCAGGUAAGUUCCGACCCGCACGAAAGGCGUAAUGAUUUGGAUACUGUCUCGGAGAGGGGCUCGGUGAAAUAGACUUGUCUGUGAAGAUGCGGACUACCUGCACCAGGACAGAAAGACCCUAUGAAGCUUUACUGUAACUUGAAAUUGAAAUUGGACUUUAUUCGCGCAGCAUAGGUGGGAGGCGUUGAUUAUAAUCUCGUGGGAUUAUUGGAGCCAUCAGUGAGAUACCACUCUUGUAAUAUUAGAUUUCUAACUUUGAAUCAUUAUCUGGUCAAAGAACAGUUUCAGGCGGGCAGUUUGACUGGGGCGGUCGCCUCCUAAACGGUAACGGAGGCGUACAAAGGUUUCCUCUGAACAGUUAGAAAUCGUAUCUAGAGUGUAAAGGCAUAAGGAAGCUUGACUGUGAGACCUACAAGUCGAGCAGGGACGAAAGUCGGUCUUAGUGAUCUGACGGUACUGAGUGGAAAGGCCGUCACUCAACGGAUAAAAGUUACUCUAGGAUAACAGGCUGAUCUCCCCCAAGAGUUCACAUCGACGGGGAGGUUUGGCACCUCGAUGUCGGCUCAUCGCAUCCUGGGGCGGUAGUACGUCCCAAGGGUUGGGCUGUUCGCCCAUGAAAGCGGUACGCGAGCUGGGUUCAGAACGUCGUGAGACAGUUCGGUCCAUAUCCGGUGUAGGCGUUAGAAUAUUGAGAGGAGCCUUCUUUAGUACGAGAGGACCGAGAAGGACAUACCUCUGGUGUACCAGUUAUCGUGCCAACGGUAAACGCUGGGUAGCUAUGUAUGGAGUGGAUAACCGCUGAAAGCAUCUAAGUGGGAAGCCCACCACAAGAUAAGUAUUCUCAUCA
rnacentral:rRNA from 1 species